CAUCCGUCCUAAAAUAAGUGUAAUUUAACAGUUCGUCUUAUUUGAAAAAAAAAUAUGAUUAGUAUUUUUAUUAUUAUUAGUUGGUAAAACAUGAAUAGUAGUUUAUGUGUGACUAUUUUUUUAUAUUUUUUUUUAAAUAAGACAGAUGGUUAAACGUUAAAUAUGGAUACCCACGACUAUAUUUAUU
rnacentral:pre_miRNA from 1 species